AACCUGGGCCGCCGCGGUGGGAAGCCAGCGACUAAUCGCCUGAGCUAUGGCACCGCCCCAGGUUGUAGUGUUGCUCAGGCUCGGAAGUUCGCAUGGUUGCCAUGUUGUUGGCCGUAAAAACCCAAGCGCGGGCCGGCAACUAUCUCGGCGACAGGGCAGGCGACCGGCCGUCAGACGGUUGGAUGCGUUUGUGUGGAACAUGGCGGACAGCUGUCGGAGAGAAGCUGCUGCUGUUGGCGGGAUGUGGACUACCAAUGGCCCGGUUGCAGCUCGUCCGACCCUCGCGCUAUGAGAAAUUUCCUGCAGCAUAAAAUUCAAAUGCAGUUCCUGUACUCAGCGGCAUUCCUAAAAAAGACUGGAUCGUGAUUGUAUGAGGACGAAAGUAUUUGCUAAUUAAAGUUCUUGUAUCCUUCGAAUCCGUUGAACACAACUGGAUUAUAGUACAGGUCUUCGUAAUCAUCUUAUGGUUCUCAGGUUGCAGACACCAAACAUCUUCUUUGAGUAGUGCCUGAAACAUGCCCACUUGGAUUUGGACGUCACUUGUUUCGUUGCACCUAGGCCUAUUUCUAGCAAUGGAAUUCACAUGAAUAUUGUUCCAACUAAAUAAAUGGAGAAUUUUAUUCGACUUAUAUGUAAUUACUAUGUAUUAGAAAUGUUUGUUAUCAGUGGCUUUCUACUGAAAUACUAGUGUUGUUAACUGUUUGCUCAGGCCAAAGAAGAAAAAUCUUGAAUAUAGGACUAACCGUGAAUA